rnacentral:rRNA from 1 species
AUUGAACGCUGGCGGCAUGCUUUACACAUGCAAGUCGAACGGUAACAGGCCGCAAGGUGCUGACGAGUGGCGAACGGGUGAGUAAUGCAUCGGAACGUGCCCAGUCGUGGAGGAUAACGCAGCGAAAGCUGCGCUAAUACCGCAUACGAUCUAUGGAUGAAAGCGGGGGACCGUAAGGCCUCGCGCGAUUGGAGCGGCCGAUGUCAGAUUAGGUAGUGGGUGGGGUAAAGGCUCACCAAGCCGACGAUCUGUAGCUGGUCUGAGAGGACGACCAGCCACACUGGGACUGAGACACGGCCCAGACUCCUACGGGAGGCAGCAGUGGGGAAUUUUGGACAAUGGGCGCAAGCCUGAUCCAGCAAUGCCGCGUGCAGGAAGAAGGCCUUCGGGUUGUAAACUGCUUUUGUACGGAACGAAAAGGCUCUGGUUAAUACCUGGGGCUCAUGACGGUACCGUAAGAAUAAGCACCGGCUAACUACGUGCCAGCCGCCGCGGUAA